CUUUUCAGCCAUUUCCAUCUAGGAUUGAAAACAAAAAAAAACCUAAAAACCUAGAACUAACCUAGAGACCUAAAAAAUGAUAGCAGCCGCAGAACCUGGGGGGAACACCUGAAGAUUCUUCUUCUUUGAAGCAAAAACCAAAGACCCUUAGCUUCUUCCUCUACACACCCUAACCUUCAGCACCUUCACAACACACAGACCCUUUAGCCACCCCAUCUCAAAACCGCCAAACCAGCCACAUGACAACUCUAACGUCUCUAGCUAGUAGCUCACCAUCGCCGCUGGACAGACCACCCCUGAAACCAGCUACCCCAAAACACUAGAAGCCACCGAGCUAGACCUCCUUCGUCUCCAUCGCCAGUCAUCUCUCCAAGAACAGCAUAGCAGCAGUCGUCCUUCUCUACCACCCAGCUCGCCGGAGAACAAACAAAGAGAACGAGAGUGAGAGGGAGAGGACAAGGGUGGAGUUCUGAUUGCCAGUUCGAGGUUUGUCGUGGUCGAAUUUGAGUUUGUCGAAUUUCAGUUCGUUGGUUUUAUUGCUGAUUUUCCGUCGCUUAGCAUUUUCAAGCUAUCAAACAAUCAUAUUUCAGAUUUGUUCAAGGUCUAUUUCUCCCUUUACUUUAUUAUUUUGCCUUAGUUUCAUGUAUCUGUGUUGUUGAUCUUUUAGUUAAGUUUUUAUUGUUGUUUGUGGUA